AAAAUUGAAAGAGUUUUUGAUUUCUAAAACUCUAUCUCAUAGAAUUCGAAAUCCAAACUUAUUCCUUUUAGAUUUGAUCCAAACCACCUUCCAUGUAAGAAAGAAGAGAGGAGACCUUUUGUGAACGUGGGAGAGAUCUGGGAGAGGGCUUUUGUCGCAUAAAAUAAGUGGAGAUUGGUGUUGAAUAAGAGAGAGGGCAUGGAGAAGGCUUAUGUGGUGCAAGGUGGAAUCCUAGUCUUACUAGGAUUCUGUCUUAUGACUUGUUUUAAUUUGGUUUCCCAAAUCAAAUUAAAUCAAAAUUAGAUCAACCUAAUUAAAAUAGGUCUUAACCCAAUUAAGAAUCUAAUUUAAUCAGAUUAAAUUAGAUUUAAAUCUGAUUUAAUUUUCUAAUCAAAUUAGAAAUUAGAUUGACCCAAGUCCUAGUUGAACUAGGACUAGUUUUUCCUUGCACUUGGCUUAUCCAAUAAACCAAUUGGACUUGAUCCAAUCAAGCCCAAACCAAAUAUAAUUAAAUUAUAUUUAAUUAGACUUAAUCUCAGCCCAUUGGCUUAAUCAAAUUAAGCCAAUC
rnacentral:lncRNA from 1 species